rnacentral:rRNA from 1 species
AACAGGAUUAGAUACCCUGGUAGUCCACGCCGUAAACGAUGAGUGCUAAGUGUUGGAGGGUUUCCGCCCUUCAGUGCUGCAGCAAACGCAUUAAGCACUCCGCCUGGGGAGUACGACCGCAAGGUUGAAACUCAAAGGAAUUGACGGGGGCCCGCACAAGCGGUGGAGCAUGUGGUUUAAUUCGAAGCAACGCGAAGAACCUUACCAGGUCUUGACAUCCUUUGACCACUCUAGAGAUAGAGCUUCCCCUUCGGGGGCAAAGUGACAGGUGGUGCAUGGUUGUCGUCAGCUCGUGUCGUGAGAUGUUGGGUUAAGUCCCGCAACGAGCGCAACCCUUAUCGUUAGUUGCCAUCAUUUAGUUGGGCACUCUAGCGAGACUGCCGGUGACAAACCGGAGGAAGGUGGGGAUGACGUCAAAUCAUCAUGCCCCUUAUGACCUGGGCUACACACGUGCUACAAUGGGAAGUGCAACGAGUUGCGAAGUCGCGAGGCUAAGCUAAUCUCUUAAAGCUUCUCUCAGUUCGGAUUGUAGGCUGCAACUCGCCUACAUGAAGCCGGAAUCGCUAGUAAUCGCGGAUCAGCACGCCGCGGUGAAUACGUUCCCGGGCCUUGUACACACCGCCCGUCACACCACGAGAGUUUGUAACACCCGAAGUCGGUGAGGUAACCUUUUUGGAGCCAGCCGCCUAAGGUGGGAUAGAUGAUUGGGGUGAAGUCGUAACAAGGUAACC